rnacentral:misc_RNA from 1 species
AGCAGCCGCGGUAAUUCCAGCUCCAAUAGCGUAUAUUAAAGUUGUUGCAGUUAAAAAGCUCGUAGUUGAAUUUCGGGAUUAAUAUGUUGGUCGUGCCUUGGUACGUACUGGCAUUAUUGAUUCCUACCUUCUGAAGAACCUCGAUGUCAUUAAUUUGGUGUCUUGGGGAAUCAGGACCGUUACUUUGAAAAAAUUUAGAGUGUUUAAAGCAGGCUCGCGCUUGAAUACAUUAGCAUGGAAUAAUGAAAUAGGACGUUUGAUUCUAUUUUGUUGGUUUCUAGGAUCGACGUAAUGAUUAAUAGGGAUAGUUGGGGGCAUUAGUAUUCAAUUGUCAGAGGUGAAAUUCUUGGAUUUAUUGAAGACUGACUACUGCGAAAGCAUUUGCCAAGGAUGUUUUCAUUAAUCAAGAACGAAAGUUAGGGGAUCGAAGACGAUCAGAUACCGUCGUAGUCUUAACCAUAAACUAUGCCGACUAGGGAUCGGAUGAUGUUAAUUUUUUCAAUGACUCAUUCGGCGCCUU